CACCAAACAGACACUGGUCACUCAGGGUUGUCGCCUGAUCAUCAGGAAGGCUCACCAGGAGGCCGGUGACUGUGAACACGCUGGGGAAGGUUGGACCUGAGUUUGAGUCCCUUGUCCUUCUGAGGGCCUUCAUUUCAGGAAUUCCAAGUCUUCGGAUUGGGAGGAAGUGAAGAUGAAGGAGCCGUCCUUUGUGUCCAGCAUGCGAAGGCAGAGGAUCUCCAGCCCAGGGAAGGGGCUCCCCUGCACCCACAGGCCUCAGUCACGCUCAGAUGGAGGUCAAGCUGGGUGGAGGCUGCCUGGUGUCUUGGGCAACCUGAGCGGAGGGGGAGAGAAGAGCUCUGCUUUAAGACCCAGGCCCACUCCUGAGGAAGGGACCAUAAGGCCUUGGUUCUUGGCCUCCUGGCAGCUUUGGGAAAGCUCCUCGUGAUGUGUUGAAUCUCACAACCUCUCUAAGCACUCAAGCACUCGCAGCAGCUCUGCCGUCUCCUCUUCUUGUUCAACCAUUUGGCUCUCUCUCCCUUCAGUUCCUGAGCCAGGCCAGUUAAUUACUCCUUCAGCAUUGCGUUGGUCCUCUUCACCUUUCUGUGAGUGUCUGUGAGGCUGGCUAUAUUCAGUGACUCUUUCUCCAGCCUGGCGAUCUCUAAAGAUGAUUGCAUCCCCAGAUACUCCUUUUGAGCAGCGCCAAGCUUGUCAACGAGCUGGCAUUUCUCCUCAAUCCCUGCAGCCACUGCUUCUGCCAGCCGCUGUUCACGUUGUACAUAAAGUUGACUUCUAACAGACUGAACCAGUCUGAAUAUAAAUAAGAUGACCACCAGUAAACUGAGGGCAGGUGGGCACAUCACUGUCUCCCACUGGAGGCUGUGGAAAGUGAGUCGUGGACUCAGGAUAUCGGGCAGCAGCUCCACCACCACCUCGCCCAGCUUGCCAAGGAUCAUCCCCAAGCCAAGCUGCACAGAGGACAGCAGCCCCUCCAUGGCACUGACCCACCACAGGGCUCUGCCCAGUCACCACAGAUCCACCAGCCACAGCACACUCCAGGGAACACCCCGACAUUCCGCCUGGAACCCAACCAGCAACUGACAGUCUGGAAAGACCUUUUCAGAUCCACUCUCUUAGCAACUUUCAAGUAAACAAGACGGAAUUGCUAACUACAGUCCCCAUGCUGUACAUCAGAUCCCUAGAAAUUCUCCAUCUGAUAAGGGGACGUCUGUGCGCUUUGAC
rnacentral:lncRNA from 1 species